UGCCAGCCGCCGCGGUAAUACGGAGGGUGCGAGCGUUAAUCGGAAUCACUGGGCGUAAAGCGCGUGUAGGCGGUUCGUUAAGUCUGAUGUGAAAGCCCGGGGCUCAACCCCGGAAGUGCACUGGAAACUGUCAAGCUUGAGUAUCGGAGGGGAAGCUAGAAUUCCUGGUGUAGGGGUGAAAUCUGUAGAUAUCAGGAAGAAUACCGGUGGCGAAGGCGAGCUUCUGGCCAGAUACUGACGCUGAGAUGCGAAAGCGUGGGGAGCGAACAGGAUUAGAUA
rnacentral:rRNA from 1 species